rnacentral:lncRNA from 1 species
ACUGUGAAGUCACAAGAGGCCCUGAGCUCUGUGGGCCCCAGGUGCCCCGGGAAAACUUGGGGGAGAAUGGGCAUCCCACCCCAGCACUUUCUAGGAAGAAGGGCAGCAUUUUGAAGGGCUGGAAGUAGAGGAAGGAGGUUGCGGGUAGAAGACUCCAUACUUUCUGUGACGCCUAUUCCUUAGUCAGAGGCAUGGCUUGCCUGGGCCUCUGGGUGCAGCUGCACAGAUUCAAGCAGCCUGAAGGAAAGGUGACUGACAGCUAAUGAUCUGAAAAGAACUUGUCUCAACUCAACGUCAUUCCUGGCAUUAUCGAACAAAGCAAUAAACCUCACAGAAUGGAAGCUACAGUGUCCAGGGCCAGCUCUGCUAAGGUAACCAAAGACAGAGAAGGAGGCAAAAGUGACAGAAGAAACUCAUGGGAAACCAACAGAAAUAUAAUGGCUUUGGCAGAAAUGCAAUUAUCAAUUGGGAGCUUGUGAUGAAUGUUUUCUCAGUAUCCUAUGCUGAAAACAGGUAGAUACUAAUAUCGAUCUUCAAGGGAGGGCUGUUGAGUAUUGAAUAAGACAAAAACAUGGAAGCAAUCAGCACCAUGCUGGAGAGCCUUUAUAUAACCAAAGAUAUUUUUGGACCAUGAAUUCAGAAAUUCUCGGAGCCACCCAUCAGUGCCUGAGCUUCAGUGAGUCCAUAUCCCAUGUCACCCACGGCAAAGGAGACUCUAAGACUUCUGAAGAGUUUCUUGCUUCUUUCCUGUGGGGCAGUGACUCCACUUCCCAGCAGUAAUGGAAUAUCCUGAAUUAGCUACAUUAAUGUUAGAACCAUUUGGACCUCACCCAGGACUUCAACUACAUUAUGAGUAACUCCUGGACGAUUGGCACAGAAGAAGGCACAAGGCAAAUACCCAUCUCUGUACACCCUGUGCUACUGUGUCAUGUGCUGCUCCAGGCAACUCCAAUGGAUUGGCCACCCUGGCCAAUGUGUUCUAGUAUGUUACGUUUAUGUUCCCCUGCUUUCUACAAUCCUGUUCAAAGAGUUGCUGACUUAACCACAGAGAGGAUUCCAGAACCUGAGACACAGAAUAAACUUGAGCAAUCAUAGUCCAUCCACUUCAUUGUCUCAUCAAAAACCAAAGGUCCAGUGAAGCUCUGGAACUCAACGCUGUAAAGGAGCGAAGGAGCUUCUAUACAGAGCCUGGAUGCCUGUCUCCUUAUCCUACUUCAGUGGACUUGACUGCAAUCCGGAUUAUGCUGUUUUCUAAGCAUUUAAAAUAAAAUAAAAAGUAUAAUAGUGUGAUAAGUUCUUUCACAAAGCAAGCAAUCACAUUUAUGUUUCUACUUACAUUUGGGUUUUCCAAAUAUGUGUGUGUGUGUGUGUGUGUGUGUGUGUGUGUGUAUGUAGACUUUAAACAUGGUGCAUCCAUCAUGUUGCACUAAAUCAAAACCACCAAAUAAUGAUGUAGAACUAAUAAAUCAAAACCAUCAAAUAAUGACAUAGAAAUCCAAUUCUCCCACCUUACACCCAUUAAGAUGGCUACU